rnacentral:lncRNA from 1 species
UUGCUAUAGUGAUAUUGUAGAUGAACUUCUUUAGAAAUGAUUAUGCAUAAUAUAUAUUAAGGUGAAAAUCAGACAAAUACAUUGCAAACACAAAAAUAACUAAUUAAAUUCCACAAAAACGGGAUACAUCUUUUUUUACAGUUUUGGUGUUAAUAAGAGGUGCAGGUACCACAAAAAUCCAUUCACCUAAUGUUUAUUUUUAAAUGCCUUUUCAUAAAUCAAGAUCUUUAGUAUCACACUUGUACUUUUCGUAACAUUUGAUAAACUUGUAAAUACGAAUCGAUGGUUUAAAAUUUGAUUCUGAUAGAUUCUAGAAAAUCUUGAACAUUUAUCCAAGACAUAAGCGAAUUUUUGUAAAUCUUGAAAAAAUAUUUACAAAAAAAAUCUAAGUAGAUGUGGUAUGAUUGUGAAAGAUUCAUCAAUCCAUUGGAUUAAAAAAAAAGUGAAUUUAUUAAGCAACUGUAGGUCAGCCUUUAAACUUCAACAAUGAACACAAUUUAUACCGUAUACUAGUAGUAAACUAUUCCGACAGUGGCCUGUAUGAACAAAAUUUCAUGUUAAAAAUUCAAACGACAAAAUGAAAGGCCUGAUUAAUGCUUUAACAAUAAAUGAAAAAAAAUAUCUGACAGCAACCAAUGACUAACAAAACCACUGAACUAUACAUGGCCUGACUUUGGAAGACACAUUAAACAAACACAAUGUUAGAAUUCAACCCUUCCUAAACGACUGCUUUACAGUACAGUGUUGUAACAGCACAAUAAAAGAUUAAACAGUAAAAAUCACACGAAAAGGACUCAACUCAUCGGAUGGAAGCCCCAAAUCAACUUAUAAAAAGACAAAAGACACAAAGUACAAUCUUCAAUAAUGACUUAAUCAAAGGAACAGCAACUUU